rnacentral:rRNA from 1 species
UACGAAGGGUACAAGCGUUGUUCGGAAUUACUGGGCGUAAAGCGCGCGUAGGCGGACGCGUAAGUCGAUUGUGAAAGCCCUGGGCUUAACCUGGGAACUGCAGUCGAAACUGCGUGUCUUGAGUGCCUGAGAGGAUGGCGGAAUUCCCGGUGUAGUAGUGAAAUACGUAGAUAUCGGGAAGAACACCUGAGGCGAAGGCGGCUAUCUGGCGGUGCGACUGACGCUGAGGCGCGACAGCGUGGGGAGCAAACAGG